rnacentral:miRNA from 1 species
UGCGGGGACAGGCCAGGGCAUC